rnacentral:rRNA from 1 species
GAUCCUGGCUCAGGAUGAACGCUAGCUACAGGCUUAACACAUGCAAGUCGAGGGGUCAGCAUGGUCUUAGCUUGCUAAGACUGAUGGCGACCGGCGCACGGGUGAGUAACACGUAUCCAACCUGCCGUCUACUCUUGGACAGCCUUCUGAAAGGAAGAUUAAUACAAGAUGGCAUCAUGAGUCCGCAUGUUCAUAUGAUUAAAGGUAUUCCGGUAGACGAUGGGUA